rnacentral:rRNA from 1 species
GACAGAGGGUGCAAACGUUGUUCGGAAUUACUGGGCGUAAAGCGCGUGUAGGCGGGAAGAUAAGUCGGGUGUGAAAUCCCUGGGCUCAACCUAGGAACUGCAUUCGAAACUGUCUUUCUGGAGUGAUGGAGAGGAAAGCGGAAUUCCCGGUGUAGAGGUGAAAUUCGUAGAUAUCGGGAGGAACACCAGUGGCGAAAGCGGCGACCUGGACAGUAACUGACGCUGAGACGCGAAAGCGUGGGUAGCAAACAGG